rnacentral:rRNA from 1 species
CCUACGGGAGGCAGCAGUAGGGAAUCUUCCACAAUGGGCGAAAGCCUGAUGGAGCAACGCCGCGUGAGUGAUGAAGGCCUUCGGGUUGUAAAACUCUGUCAUUCGGGACGAACCGGAGUCUGAGGAAAUGCAGACUCUCUGACGGUACCGGAGGAGGAAGCCCCGGCUAACUACGUGCCAGCAGCCGCGGUAAUACGUAGGGGGCAAGCGUUGUCCGGAUUCACUGGGCGUAAAGCGCGCGCAGGCGGUGAUGUAAGUCUGAGGUGAAAACCCGAAGCUCAACUUCGGGACUGCCUUGGAUACUGCGUCACUUGAGGAUAGGAGAGGCAAGGGGAAUUCCACGUGUGGCGGUGAAAUGCGUAGAGAUGUGGAGGAACACCUGUGGCGAAGGCGCCUUGCUGGCCUAUUUCUGACGCUGAGGCGCGAAAGCGUGGGGAGCAAACAGGAUUAGAUACCCUGGUAGUCCACGCUGUAAACGAUGAGUGCUAGGUGUAGGUGGGCUCAUACCCAUCUGUGCCGAAGCUAACGCAUUAAGCACUCCGCCUUGGGGAGUUACGGUUGCAGACUUGAACUUCAAGGAUUGACGG